AUUGAACGCUGGCGGCAGGCCUAACACAUGCAAGUCGCACGGAGUAGCGGACGGGUGAGUAAUGCCUAGGCAUCUGCCUGGUAGUCGGUGAUAGCGUCCGGUAAGGGGCGCUGAUACCUCCUACUAGCAGAUGAGGAUCGGUCGGAGUAGCUAGUUGGUGGGGUAAAGGCCUACCAAGACGACGAUCCGUACCUGGUCUGAGAGGAUGAUGAGUCACACUGGAACUGAGACACGGUCCAGACUCCUACGGGAGGCAGCAGGGGGGAAUAUUCGACAAUGGGCGAAAGCCUGAUCCAGCCAGGCCGCGUGUGUGAAGAAGGUCUUCGGAUUGUAAAGCACUUUAAGUUGGGAGGCGUUACCAACAGAAUAAGCACCGGCUAACUUCGUGCCAGCAGCCGCGGUAAUAC
rnacentral:rRNA from 1 species